AUAUUAGGAGGAACACCAGUGGCGAAGGCGACUUACUGGACUGUAACUGACGCUGAGUCACGAAAGCGUGGGUAGCAAACAGGAUUAGAUACCCUGGUAGUCCACGCUGUAAACGAUGAGUGCUAGGUGUUGGGUAGCGAUAUUCAGUGCCGAAGUAAACACAAUAAGCACUCCGCCUGGGGAGUACGGUCGCAAGACUGAAACUCAAAGGAAUUGACGGGGACCCGCACAAGCAGCGGAGCAUGUGGUUUAAUUCGAAGCAACGCGAAGAACCUUACCAAGGCUUGACAUCCCCUUGACCGGCACAGAGAUGUGCCCUCUCCUUCGGGAGCAAGGGUGACAGGUGGUGCAUGGUUGUCGUCAGCUCGUGUCGUGAGAUGUUGGGUUAAGUCCCGCAACGAGCGCAACCCUUAUCCUUAGUUGCCAGCAGGUUAAGCUGGGCACUCUUAAGGAGACUGCCGAUUGAUAAAUCGGAGGAAGGUGGGGAUGACGUCAAAUCAUUCAUGCCCCUUAUUGUUUUGGGCUUACA
rnacentral:rRNA from 1 species